rnacentral:lncRNA from 1 species
CUUUUCGGGGAAGACUGUUGAACGUCGUGUUAAGUUCUCGCAUUCGCUUGGGAUUCCUAAUGCCUUGAUUUGAGGAGAGAAGAUGAACCUCACCUAACUUUGAAAUUAAUAUUUAAUGCUUUGAGGUCCCUUACUUGCAGGGAGAUGUGGUAAAGUGAGUACCCUGCAGUUCGGGGAGAUAAACCUGCAGUUUGAAAAUGUUAAGAUUACACAGAACACUCAAUCCUGGAACUAUCUUAAAAAGCAGCAGAGUCAUAGUAUGUUGCCCAGAUGCCCAUUGAAAUUAGAAGGAAUUAUAUGUGACAGGUGUGGGGGGUGGCCCUAGAGAUCCUCUCAGGUUUUCUACGAUGUGAAAACCAGUCAACAGUGGGUUUUCUGACAAGUGGAAGUAUGAGGACCUAUAUAUUUUAAUAAAGAGAUGCAUGACAGUUUCUACUGUGCUCAUGAAUUAUAAUAAAAAUGACUAUAUACAUAUUUGUGUUGUUCCUUUUUUACAAGUGAGUGGUUAGCAGCUAAGAGUUUUAUAUGAGUUGGACUGCCUUUUUUUUUUUUUUUUUUUUUUUAAACACCACCCGUGGAGUUCCUGGCCAGAAUGCUUGAGCCACUAAACUCAGCUUUCAGGUAACCUGUGGAGGUUCUGCACUAAGUGCCAAGUUACUACCUUUAAUUUAAUACUACUUUGGGAAAAACAUGUUGGUUCCUGAUAGGAAGGAAACAGUCAAGUUCAGGGCCUUUUUGCUUUUUAGGGCUGCAUUCACAGCAUAUGGAGGUUCCCAGGCUAGAAGGAGUCGGAUCUGAGCUACAUCGCGAGACCACAGCUCAUGGUAAUGCUGGGUCUUUAACCUACUGAGCCAGGCCAGGGAUCGAACCUGCAACCUCAUGGUUCCUAGUUGUAUUCAUUUCCUCUGCCACAACAGGAACUCCAGGGCUUGCAUGAUUUUGGUUGGAUAACAAAUUCAGUGUGUUUGAGGGACCUGUCUGUAAUGCCUUGGUCACCUGCUAGACAUGGGUGAGAGUUCUGCCAGUCAGACCAGUAUCAACUAAGAUUGACUUAAAAUGAUAAAAUCACAGAUGUUGAGCCAGUUAAACUGUCCAAGGUGUGUGCUUGUGUCAUGCUUGUGUCACAAUAGAAUUUGUCAAGCCCUUGGAUGGGCUGCUAGCAUUACAGGGAAGUGAUAAGACCCUGGAGGAUGGGAAUCAUCUAGAAGGUAAGAGUUUAGCUUGGAAAGGACAUAGUGAAUUUAAAGGUGGGAGGUAGACUCAGCUCGUUUAGAAACCUCUGAGCAGGGAUGGUGUGGGGGUAGUGUGGUGUAUAGUGUGUCAAACAUGGGAUGCCUAAGUGUGCUGUAGUUAAUCAAGGCCAAAAAGCACAGAAUAGGGAGUUCGACCCCCAGCCUGGGAACCUCCAUAUGCUAUGGGUGCAGCACUAAAAUAGGUGAGACAAGGUGCUAGCAUUUAUGAUCAUUAUUAGGAGAACUUGGGAGGGUUUGUUGGGUUUUGACUAAGCAUAGCUACAAGUCUUUAAACAACGGGAGAUCUGGCAUUGCUGUGGUGGGUAAAUGACAAGUUCAGUGGUCCUUCCCCAGCCCCCCCAGCCGCUUUCCCGCUUUUUAGGUGUACACCUUUGGCAUAUGGCAGUUCCCAGGCUAGGGGUCAUACCAGAGCUACAGCUGCUGGCGAGGCCAGGGGUGGGACAUGCAACCUCAUGGUUCUACCUGGAUUCGUUUCUACUGCACCACAAGGGGAAUUGGGAACUCCUGUCAUAUCUUGAUAUCCAUGAGAAACAGUCUUUGGAGGGUAGAUGCUCAGUAAAAGGUCUAGUGUCUUUAGUACAUGUUCUCAGUAGGGCUGGGUCCUAGGUGGAAAGUAAUACCCAUUUCCCUGAUGUCCUCGUGCAGCUGAAGCAGAGCUGUCAGCAAGUAUUCUAGGUCCCUCUGUGCUAAUCUUAAGGUUGCAACACACCUGCUUGUAUACUUUAGUCUUCUUUCUGCAUGUAGGCCUAUCAGUUGCUAGGCUUGAGACUGCUGGGUUAAUAUCCACAUACCACUUGAGCAGUCCCUGUGACCUUGGGCAAGCCACUUAACUUCUCUGCCUCAGUUCCCUCAUGCAUAGAAUGAGGACUAUAAAAGUACUUGAAGUUGUAGUGAGAAUUAGUAUUUGUAAAUAGCUUAGUCUUAAGGAGUACAAUGAGCUUGUGGGAAACUAGAUAUACAGUAUCCAGUAAGUUUUAUUGAAUAAAGUCUACCACUAUAGACAAAUGACCUAACCAGGCUUAGCUCACUCAGCCCUACCUAUCCAAGAGAGGAAGAAAGGGGGAGAUUGAGGGAUUACGAUCACCCAACAAGUAGCAGAACCAGGAUUUGAACCAAAGUCCAGAACCAUAUCAUGAUAUACUAUUAGCUUUGAGCUAGACAAUGUGAUAAGAUGUAUACAUUGUUUCAUCCAAUAUCCCAUGCCAAUACCUCUGUAAAGUACGUACUCUUAUUUGUGAGGGAAACUGAAGUUGGAGGAGUUGAGGAACUUCCCCAAGUUAGCAAGUGGCAAAGCAUGCAUCUGAGCAAGGCAAAUGACUACAGUGCUCCUCCUACAUCGUAAC